rnacentral:rRNA from 1 species
AAUAGAGUUUGAUCCUGGCUCAGGAUGAACGCUGGCGGCGUGCCUAAUACAUGCAAGUCGAGCGAAUGGAUUAAGAGCUUGCUCUUAUGAAGUUAGCGGCGGACGGGAGAGUAACACGUGGGUAACCUGCCCAUAAGACUGGGAUACUUCCGGGAAACCGGGGCUAAUACCGGAUAACAUUUUGAACCGCAUGGUUCGAAAUUGAAAGGCGGCUUCGGCUGUCACUUAUGGAUGGACCCGCGUCGCAUUAGCUAGUUGGUGAGGUAACGGCUCACCAAGGCAACGAUGCGUAGCCGACCUGAGAGGGUGAUCGGCCACACUGGGACUGAGACACGGCCCAGACUCCUACGGGAGGCAGCAGUAGGGAAUCUUCCGCAAUGGACGAAAGUCUGCCGUUCACGCCGCGUGAGUGAUGAAGGCAGGGGCUCCCUCUGUGUUAGGGAAGAACAAGUGCUAGUGAAUAAGUCGCGCUGAUAGAGUGUAGAGAUAUUGGC